UCGCUGAGCUGCAUAUGAAAGUGCCA
rnacentral:piRNA from 1 species